rnacentral:rRNA from 1 species
AUGAUUUUAGUUUGACGGUACCAUACCAGAAAGGGACGGCUAAAUACGUGCCAGCAGCCGCGGUAAUACGUAUGUCCCGAGCGUUAUCCGGAUUUAUUGGGCGUAAAGCGAGCGCAGACGGUUGAUUAAGUCUGAUGUGAAAGCCCGGAGCUCAACUCCGGAAUGGCAUUGGAAACUGGUUAACUUGAGUGUUGUAGAGGUAAGUGGAACUCCAUGUGUAGCGGUGGAAUGCGUAGAUAUAUGGAAGAACACCAGUGGCGAAGGCGGCUUACUGGACAACAACUGACGUUGAGGCUCGAAAGUGUGGGUAGCAAACAGGAUUAGAUACCCUGGUAGUCCACACCGUAAACGAUGAAUACUAGGUGUUAGGAGGUUUCCGCCUCUUAGUGCCGAAGCUAACGCAUUAAGUAUUCCGCCUGGGGAGUACGACCGCAAGGUUG